rnacentral:rRNA from 1 species
AUUGAACGCUGGCGGAAUGCUUUACACAUGCAAGUCGAACGGCAGCACGGGGCAACCUGGUGGCGAGUGGCGAACGGGUGAGUAAUACAUCGGAACGUGCCCAAUCGUGGGGGAUAACGUAGCGAAAGUUACGCUAAUACCGCAUACGAUCUACGGAUGAAAGCGGGGGAUCGCAAGACCUCGCGCGAAUGGAGCGGCCGAUGUCAGAUUAGGUAGUUGGUGGGGUAAAGGCUCACCAAGCCGACGAUCUGUAGCUGGUCUGAGAGGACGACCAGCCACACUGGGACUGAGACACGGCCCAGACUCCUACGGGAGGCAGCAGUGGGGAAUUUUGGACAAUGGGCGCAAGCCUGAUCCAGCCAUUCCGCGUGCAGGAUGAAGGCCUUCGGGUUGUAAACUGCUUUGUACGGAACGAACGGUUCUCUCU